CCCGCUGAAUUUAAGCAUAUAAGUAAGCGGAGGAAAAGAAACUAACAAGGAUUCCCCUAGUAAUGGCGAAUGAAGCGGGAACAGCUCAAAUUUGAAAUCUCCGUCGCAUGCGACGGCGAAUUGUAGUUUCGAGAAGCGCUUUCAAGGCGAUCCGGGUCCGUCCAAGUUGCUUGGAACGGCACGUCGUAGAGGGUGACAACCCCGUCUGUGGCGGGACCGGACGCCGACGAUGCGCUUUCGACGAGUCGGGUUGUUUGGGGAUGCAGCCCAAAAUGGGUGGUAAACUCCAUCUAAAGCUAAAUACUGGCACGAGACCGAUAGCGAACAAGUACCGUGAGGGAAAGAUGAAAAGCACUUUGAAAAGAGAGUUAAAAAGUACGUGAAACCGUUAAAAGGGAAACGAAUGAGGCUAGCAAUGCGUUCCGCGAGAUUCAGCCGGUGGCUGGGUCGGUCGGGCGGCCCGCGGAUCUGAAUGGACCGCGGCCGUCCGGUUCGGCCUCUCGACCGUCGCACUUCUCGCGAGCGCGCGUUCAGCGUCGGUUGGACCUGGGUCUCAACGUCGCCAGGAAGGUAGGUCCCGCUAACGCGGGACUGUUAUAGCCUGGCGUCUUUAUGGCUCGGAUCCGACCGAGGUGCCGCGGCACGUGCCUCCAUAUACUGGCUGGCUGGGGCCCCGUCGUUCCGGCCGACAACCGACUGCGGUGGACUGCGUGCAGUGCGUCGCGACUGCUGUCGGUCGCCUCGGCGGUGUCCUCACACUACGUGCCCAGGACGCUGGCGGUGACAUGGCCCCAUCCGACCCGUCUUGAAACACGGACCAAGGAGUCUAACAUGUGCGCGAGUCUUUGAGUGAUCGAAACUCGCAGGCGGAAUGAAAGUGAAGGCGGCUUCGGCCGCUGAGGUGAGAACCCUUCCCUCCCCUCGGGGAGGCGUGGGGCGCAUCAUCGACCGACCUAUUCUACUCUUAGGAAGGUUUGAGUAAGAGCGCAUCUGUUGGGACCCGAAAGAUGGUGAAAUCG
rnacentral:rRNA from 1 species